UAAUACGGAGGGUGCAAGCGUUAUCCGGAUUCACUGGGCGUAAAGCGCGUGCAGGUGGCUUGGUAAGUUAGGCGUGAAAUCUCCCGGCUCAACUGGGAGAGGUCGUCUAAUACUACCGGGCUAGAGAGCAGAAGAGGAAGAUGGAAUUCCCGGUGUAGUGGUGAAAUGCGUAGAUAUCGGGAGGAACACCAGUGGCGAAGGCGAUCUUCUGGUCUGUUUCUGACACUCAGACGCGACAGCUAGGGUAGUAAACGGGAUUAGAGACCCCGGUAAUCCUAGCCGUAAACGAUGUGAACUUGGCGUUGGUGGGUUAAACUCCAUCAGUGCCGCAGCAAACGCGAUAAGUUCACCGCCUGGGGACUACGGCCGCAAGGUUA
rnacentral:rRNA from 1 species